AUGACCAAAUCGCCCUGGAUGGAGCCAAUCUUGUAAAAUCUCGGAAGCUAAGCAGGGUUGACCCUCGUUAGUGCUUGUAGAGGUGACCACCCAGGGUUGCUAGAUGCUGUAUAUA
rnacentral:rRNA from 1 species